UAGGACUAGUGGUUGGGCGCUAUUUAGGUUAGGCUAUUUGAUUGGAGAAACCUGUAAAACGUUUCCUUCUAAUUCCGUUGUCAUACAUUUUAUCUCCGGCCUGAGCGCUCCAGAAAAGGCCACAUACUCUUUCUACCAUAUGCUAUAUCUGCUACAUGAUUUGUGUUCGAUUCAUGUUUUCACGGAAUGUUGGUGUAGCGCUGCGUCUCUCCAACAGCACCUUGGAGAGGCGGCUGGGAAUGGACAUGAUAAAUAUUUUGCGUCCCUGCCUUAUGACAAAGUGGGCACUGCUUAUCACAGGGCGGCAUCAGCGCUCACCUAAAAGUCCAUAUGCAACUGGUUGAGAUAAACUGUCAUUGAUUUUGGGCAGAAUUAUGUGAGCUUUUAUCUGUUGUUGGAGGUAUGUCUUUGUCAGUUUCGCUCAGAAAAUGCAGUCUUCGUCAAUCUGCCGCCAUAGACGGCCGCCUGCUGUCUCGUUAUUCAAAGGAGCGGUUAGAACCUUGGCACAACUCCUCCAUCAGUAUGACGCGUUAUUCCAGCGACUACCACCCCGAAGCAAAAUGGAAGCCCACAGUGGUGACAAGCGUGGUCUUGAGCAUUUAGACGAAUAUGAACCCAAACCAGCAAAACAUAUGCGGAGCCUACACGAUCGCAUGGUGGAAAGGCGACUAGUAGUUAUUUUAGAGGGGGCAACGCUGGAAACAGUGAAGGUUGGCAAGACAUUUGAACUGCUGAACUGUGACCAACACAAGGGCAUGAUCAUCAAAAGUGGACGGGACCCAGGGAAGAUUCGACCUGACAUUACACAUCAGUGUUUGUUGAUGCUGAUGGACAGUCCAUUGAACAGGGCAGGUCUCCUACAGGUUUACAUCCACACAGAGAGGAACGCCUUGAUUGAGAUCAACCCACAGACACGCAUCCCCCGAACCUUCAACCGCUUCUGUGGUCUCAUGGUCCAGCUCCUGCACAAGCUGAGUGUGAGGGCGGCUGAUGGCCCCCAGCGCCUGCUGAAGCUCAUCAAGAACCCUGUGUCAGACCACCUGCCCCCUGGCUGCCCCCGUAUUUGUACCUCGUUCUCCUCUGGGGAGGCAGUGGGCGCCCGCACCGUGGUACCAGAGGAGGGGCCCGCCACUGUGGUGGUCGGAGCAUUUGCACACGGAGCGGUGAAUGUGGACUACACAGAGAAGACUGUUUCCAUCAGUAACUACCCUCUCUCUGCUGCCCUCACCUGUCUUAGGUGAAUGUGGGCUACACAGAGAAGACUGUUUCCAUCAGUAACUACCCUCUCUCUGCUUGUCCUCUCCUGUCUUAGGUGAAUGUGGGCUACACAGAGAAGACUGUUUCCAUCAGUAACUACCCUCUCUCUGCUUGUCCUCUCCUGUCUUAGGUGAAUGUGGGCUACACAGAGAAGACUGUUUCCAUCAGUAACUACCCUCUCUCUGCUUGUCCUCUCCUGUCUUAGGUGAAUGUGGGCUACACAGAGAAGACUGUUUCCAUCAGUAACUACCCUCUCUCUGCUUGUCCUCUCCUGUCUUAGGUGAAUGUGGGCUACACAGAGAAGACUGUUUCCAUCAGUAACUACCCUCUCUCUGCUUGUCCUCUCCUGUCUUAGGUGAAUGUGGGCUACACAGAGAAGACUGUUUCCAUCAGUAACUACCCUCUCUCUGCUUGUCCUCUCCUGUCUUAGGUGAAUGUGGACUACACAGAGAAGACUGUUUCCAUCAGUAACUACCCUCUCUCUGCUUGUCCUCUCCUGUCUUAGGUGAAUGUGGACUACACAGAGAAGACUGUUUCCAUCAGUAACUACCCUCUCUCUGCUUGUCCUCUCCUGUCUUAGGUGAAUGUGGACUACACAGAGAAGACUGUUUCCAUCAGUAACUACCCUCUCUCUGCUUGUCCUCUCCUGUCUUAGGUGAAUGUGGACUACACAGAGAAGACUGUUUCCAUCAGUAACUACCCUCUCUCUGCUUGUCCUCUCCUGUCUUAGGUGAAUGUGGACUACACAGAGAAGACUGUUUCCAUCAGUAACUACCCUCUCUCUGCUUGUCCUCUCCUGUCUUAGGUGAAUGUGGACUACACAGAGAAGACUGUUUCCAUCAGUAACUACCCUCUCUCUGCUUGUCCUCUCCUGUCUUAGGUGAAUGUGGACUACACAGAGAAGACUGUUUCCAUCAGUAACUACCCUCUCUCUGCUGCCCUCACCUGUGCCAAGAUGUGCUCUGCCUUUGAGGAGGUCUGGGGCGUGUUGUGAUGAAGUUGACAGCACACUGCUGCUCCAGCUAAAACUGUCAACAUGGACUAAAAAUGGAUCGGACAGUCAAGGAACAUUGUACAGAAACGAUCCACUUCACCAAUUACCUCCUGUGGAUUCGUAUGAUUCUAUGGGUGUAUGUAUUGUGUGUAAAAUAUGGUAUCUUACAUUUCUCAACUUAGGCCAAGUUUCAAUAUGAAAUACUGUUUUGAAUACACCAUCUGUAAGGACUUUGCACCAAAUAUGGUCUUCCUGCUUGUUUUUGUAUACAUGUAUCCAGUGCAUCAUUGUUCCCAUGGUUAUACAGUGGAAAUAAAUGGUAUAGUUUGUC